CUUGGGGGGGGGUGCUAUACAUGCAAGUCGAACGCUUUGUCGGUUCAACUGAUUUGAAGAGCUUGCUCAGAUAUGACGAUGGACAUUGCAAAGAGUGGCGAACGGGUGAGUAACACGUGGGAAACCUACCUCUUAGCAGGGGAUAACAUUUGGAAACAGAUGCUAAUACCGUAUAACAAUGACAACCGCAUGGUUGUUAUUUAAAAGAUGGUUCUGCUAUCACUAAGAGAUGGUCCCGCGGUGCAUUAGCUAGUUGGUAAGGUAAUGGCUUACCAAGGCGAUGAUGCAUAGCCGAGUUGAGAGACUGAUCGGCCACAAUGGGACUGAGACACGGCCCAUACUCCUACGGGAGGCAGCAGUAGGGAAUCUUCCACAAUGGGCGAAAGCCUGAUGGAGCAACGCCGCGUGUGUGAUGAAGGGUUUCGGCUCGUAAAACACUGUUGUAAGAGAAGAAUGACAUUGAGAGUAACUGUUCAAUGUGUGACGGUAUCUUACCAGAAAGGAACGGCUAAAUACGUGCCAGCAGCCGCGGUAAUACGUAUGUUCCAAGCGUUAUCCGGAUUUAUUGGGCGUAAAGCGAGCGCAGACGGUUAUUUAAGUCUGAAGUGAAAGCCCUCAGCUCAACUGAGGAAUUGCUUUGGAAACUGGAUGACUUGAGUGCAGUAGAGGAAAGUGGAACUCCAUGUGUAGCGGUGAAAUGCGUAGAUAUAUGGAAGAACACCAGUGGCGAAGGCGGCUUUCUGGACUGUAACUGACGUUGAGGCUCGAAAGUGUGGGUAGCAAACAGGAUUAGAUACCCUGGUAGUCCACACCGUAAACGAUGAGUGCUAGGUGUUUGAGGGUUUCCGCCCUUAAGUGCCGCAGCUAACGCAUUAAGCACUCCGCCUGGGGAGUACGACCGCAAGGUUGAAACUCAAAGGAAUUGACGGGGACCCGCACAAGCGGUGGAGCAUGUGGUUUAAUUCGAAGCAACGCGAAGAACCUUACCAGGUCUUGACAUCCCUUGACAACUCCAGAGAUGGAGCGUUCCCUUCGGGGACAAGGUGACAGGUGGUGCAUGGUUGUCGUCAGCUCGUGUCGUGAGAUGUUGGGUUAAGUCCCGCAACGAGCGCAACCCUUAUUACUAGUUGCCAGCAUUCAGUUGGGCACUCUAGUGAGACUGCCGGUGACAAACCGGAGGAAGGUGGGGAUGACGUCAAAUCAUCAUGCCCCUUAUGACCUGGGCUACACACGUGCUACAAUGGCGUAUACAACGAGUUGCCAACCCGCGAGGGUGAGCUAAUCUCUUAAAGUACGUCUCAGUUCGGAUUGUAGGCUGCAACUCGCCUACAUGAAGUCGGAAUCGCUAGUAAUCGCGGAUCAGCACGCCGCGGUGAAUACGUUCCCGGGUCUUGUACACACCGCCCGUCACACCAUGAGAGUUUGUAACACCCAAAGCCGGUGGGGUAACCUUCGGGAGCCAGCCGUCUAAGGUGACCAG
rnacentral:rRNA from 1 species